UCCGUAGGUGAACCUGCGGUUGGAUCAUUACUGAUUUUUGAUUUUAGUUGGUAGAGAAUCUUAAAAAAGAUUCUCCCACUAAAAUCUAUCAACCCUAUGUGCAAUGUGAUGUUUUUUGGGUGUUUGCCUAGCAGCACCCAGCAGUUUAUAAAACCCUUUUAUUUUUAAGACUGAGAUUUACCUAAUGUAAAAAUUAACAACUUUUGACAACGGAUCUCUUGGCUCUCGCAACGAUGAAGAACGCAGCGAAAUGCGAUACGUAAUGUGAAUUGCAGAAUUCCGUGAAUCAUCUAAUUUUUGAACGCACAUUGCACUCUGCUGAAAGGCAGAGUAUGCCUGUUUGAGAAUCUAUAGUAUUUCUUUUACCUUUUUUACUUUUGUAAUAAAGGUAAAGAUUUGAACUUUCUCUACUAAGAGUGGUUUGAAAUCUAUAGCUGGUAUUGAUCAAGAGUAAUGACUCUAAGCAAUAUAACAGAACAGUAUGUGAAUGAAACCUUGGUUUCUCAUAAUGCCUAGUAAGUUGUCGCCUAGAUAGCUGUUGAUUAAUAGUAGUUCAUAACUAUUAAAGUUACUAGGUAAUAGGGUGGACUUUGGAACCCAUGGGGUCUCAAAUCAGGGUAGGGAUUACCCGGCUGGAACUUAAGGCAUAUCAAUAAGGCGGGGAGGGGAA
rnacentral:rRNA from 1 species